UUCAGAAAAGCACCGAAUAAUCCUUUUGUGUCCUUGUAUCUCAUGCGACCUUGGGGGGCAGACUUAACCUAAAAGAAUAUUCCUGCAUCUAAAUUCCAAUCUCGCGGGGCACCCGGUGGCAGUUGGAAGGCAGCAGAGGCCGGGGAUCAUGCGGUAACCGCUGAUGAUGUGUACCCCAUCACCAAACUCCCCUCCAGACUGUGACCUUCAAUUCACUGCAGUACGGGUGAAAAUUAAACUAUGGGGUCUUCAGAAAGGAAUCCAGUGAAGUAGGGAACAGAAGCUUCAGCAAGACGCACGCUGUCUUUUUUUCAAGAUCCAGAAGACCUGAGCUUUUUGCUUUUGCCCUUGACGCAGUGGACCAGCUCCUGCUGAGAUGCAGCCCCGCCGUCCAGGCCCAGAGGAGUCUGGCAGCAAGAAGCGGGCCGUCUCCCCGCCUUUCAGCCUCCUUCGUCUUCCCUUGUUCUUGGAUCCUUAAGAAACCCGGUACAUCCAAGCAGCGGUAUCCAGGCCGCCCCUGCUCACUACACCACGCCCUUGCCACACCCCCGCCACGGCUCCCGGCCUGUUACAACAAACCACCAAGCUCAGCAUCCAAGUUGUCUCCAGAGAGAAACAGCAGAAUCGGUAGAGGGAAAACUCAGCAGGUGUAUUAUUAGUCUCCUCGGGCUGCUAGAGCAAAAUGCCCCACACCGGGGGCCUGUGACAACACAAAUAUAACAGCUCACUCUCUGGAGGCUAAAAGUCUGAACCCAGGCGUGGGGAGGAUGGUUCCUUCCGGGAGCCGCGAGGGAGGAAUCUGUCCUGUGCCUCUUUCCUAGCAGCUGGGGCCUGGCUGGCGAUCUCUGGCAUUCCUUGGCGCCUACUGCAGCACACCACCCUCUGCCUUCCUCUUCACGUGGUGCUCUCCCCAUGUGUUCGUCUAGUUUCAAAUAUCUAUCUAUCUAUCUGUCUAUCUAUUUAUUUAUUUAUUUAUUUGACAGAGAGAAAGCAUGAGCAGGAGGGGCAGAGGGAGAGAGAGAGAGACUCUCAAGCAGAUUCCACACAGAGCGCAGAGCCCAACACCAGGCUCGAUCCCAUAACCCCAAGACUAUGACCCAAGCCAAAACCGAGAGUUGGAUGCCCAACUGACUGUGCCACCCAGGCACCCCAAGGACACUGACCUCUUUUAAAUGACUCAUAAAUGUAGCUCAUUAAGGGCCAUAGAAAGACCAACAGAAGAGAUUAAAUGCCGUCAGUACUAGCUCUGGUCCUGCCAGGGACUUGCUCUCA